rnacentral:rRNA from 1 species
UGGCGAACGGGUGAGUAAUACAUCGGAACGUGUCCGCUCGUGGGGGACAACCAGCCGAAAGGUUGGCUAAUACCGCAUGAGUUCUACGGAAGAAAGAGGGGGACCCGCAAGGGCCUCUCGCGAGCGGAGCGGCCGAUGACUGAUUAGCCUGUUGGUGAGGUAACGGCUCACCAAAGCAACGAUCAGUAGCUGGUCUGAGAGGACGACCAGCCACACUGGGACUGAGACACGGCCCAGACUCCUACGGGAGGCAGCAG